rnacentral:lncRNA from 1 species
AGGGAUGGGGUAAAAGUGAAGGGAUACUACGCAUGGUCAUUUUGGGAUGACUUCGAAUGGGAUGCUGGUUACACAGUUGGGUUUGGCCUAACAUUAGUUGAUGUCAAGGAUAAUCUGAAAAGAUACCUCAAGUAUUCUGCCUAUUGGUACAAGAUGUUCCUCCUGCACUGAUAUGCUGGCUUAUGGAUUGAUCCAUCACCUAGCCUGCGGAUCAUACCUCUCUAUCUACUCCAAAUAAAUUGAGCAAUAAUUUCCCAAUAAUUUCCUUAUGUAUGUCAUCUACCUAGCUAUAUGUAUGUAUCUUCAGCUAGCUCUCAUCAAUAAGAACUAUUGGUCCGCUUUAAUUGUGUUUUUCUGGUAGAGAGUUUCAAUUUAUGCACAUACUUAAGUGGGAACUACCAUAUAGUUAAAUUAUCAAUUCAAAUAGCUAGUUUUGUUUACUGUAUCAUUAUGUAAGUAAUGAAAUUAUAUACAUACUGAAGAAACGACAAACCAGCAACCAUCAAGUUUCGUGACAGGAACCAGAUCCGGAUCUGGAGCUCGAGAAGCCGCGAUCUUGCAUUCACGGCGUUGGCCAAAACCUUCGAUCCGCCAACUCCAGUUCGACCAUCGACCCUCUGCCGCGCAAGACCUCCUUUGCUCCACCCCCAUCUAUCCUCCCGCCGCGCCUUCGCCUCCGAUGCAGCAGCCGAAAAAUCGCUUCGGUUGAGAACCCGAUCUGCUCAAAACCCAUAAUCGAGCCACAAACAUAACCCAUGAAUCGUCUUCCCGUCCGGCCGCCCUCCACGUGCAUCGGCUCGGCCAUCGACCGCUACCGGUGCCGCGGCGCAACCGGACGAGAUAAAGAGGAGAAGGUGUUUUCAGAAAGUUUUAGAGAGGCGCGCGUGUGAGGCGCGUUCUAGAUCCCCUAUCCUCAUCCUUUGAUAAAGCUGACUCGAAAGAGAUGUUACGACUGAAAAAUAAACUACUUUUUAUGAAAAUUGAAUUCGACUUUUUUCUUUUUUUCUUUUUCCAGAUUUCUUUAUCCAAUAAAGUUCAGACUUGAGAGACUUUUCACAUGUAUAAUCAUUUUGAAUUCGGAUUUGGGAAUACAAGUGAAAAAACCUGAAUCAUAAAAUCAUCACGAGUAUGCUAUCAAGCUCUGAAUGAUCAUGACAGUACAAACACGUGUAUCAUAUUUAUUUUGGUCUGUGUGACAUGAUUUAUUUUUCUUGUUUGGAUUGGAUCGGAGUGGCUGAUAUUCUAAUGACAUGACAUAACUAAUCGAUUACCAAAAAAAAAAAAAAAGUGCAUGCGAGCCUAAACGGGGUGAUUAUUAUUCAAAGGAUAAGAAGGAGGUGGCCAUACCCAAAUCUGUGUGUGAUUCUCAUGUCGUCCCCACUUUGAUCAUACAGCUACCAAAAUGAAAUGAAAAUAAUUUACUUAUUCACGCACACCCUACACGCACAAAUUUUUUAUUCAAACUUCCCAUUUCUUUUAUUAAUGAACUAAGAUAUUAAGCAAAUAUAUUAAUACUAAACAAAAUUACACGUAAUUAAUUGUAACAUCCUGACGUUAAACUUAUUUGAAUAAGUAAAUAAGCUAAUUCCCAAAUACCAUCAUAGUUGCAAAACAGAUCAGCAAUCCAAAUCAAAGAAAUCAAUGAUAAGUCAUUCAACUCAAUCUCAAAAUCGAUUACAACUAUUGAACAAUUCUCAUAAUCCAGUAUCCCAAUCGUUACUCAAGAUCUUACCGUAGGUAGUGUUAAUUUUACUUUCACAACUCUAGCCACAGCCAUAAUCAAAGCCGAUUUCUAAUCCCCUCCAACUCAUGGAUGGUCGGAACAAGUCAAUUCCAAUGGUAAGCCACGAACCAUGCAUCAACAUCCCUCCAUCACAGGGCUUGUCAGCACCGUUGGGAUGAAGUGAAUGGACGACGAACCGUUGUAAGACGAUGGUUUUAGGAAAGAAUCCUGGCUGGGCCUAUAUAAUACCCUUGAUUAUAAAAUAUAAGAAAUAAUCUUUUUAUUUGGGCUGGUAUGUCCUUAUACAUAUGCACAUGUACGUGUAUAUAUAUAAUCUAUGUUGUAAUACUCCAAUAAUUUGGUAAUUCAAUUUACUUUGGUAAAUGUACACAUGGGGCUUACUAAAGUCGUAUCAAGAUGGGGUUAGUUAAGAUCUAAGUUUUAGUGGCCUGGUAAUUGCUCGGGAGUAUUUAUUUUUAGAUACUUAUGUUUACUAAGAUUUAUGUAUAAUGUGUAUAUGUAUAUACAUUGCCUCAAAGUUAAUACAACUUGAUAAUAAAAUAAAAUAAGAAUAAAGAAAGAAAGAUCAAGAGGGAUGGGAAAGAUAAAAAAAUAAAAGAAGAGGAGAGGAGAAGUCGAGAGACUUCAGGAAGGAAGAAAAAAAGAGAACCUGGGAGAACAAACAAAAGGAAAGGAAAGAAAGAAGAGGGGAAGCUUCUAGGGGGCUCUCACCCUCUCUAGAACUCUGACGGUCUCUCUCUCUAUCUCUGGGGGCUUUUCUCCGAUUUUGUUUUUUUUUGGGCUGAGAGGAGGGGAAAAAGACCUGGAGGAGGACAAUCUAGUGGGAGGAAGGCCCAGCCAGGAUUCUUUCCCAAAACCAUCGUCUUACAACGAUUCGUCGUCCAUUCACUUCAUCCCAACGGUGCUGACAAGUCCUGUGGUGGAGGGAUGUUGAUGCAUGGUUCGUGGCUUACCGCUGGAAUUGACUUGUUCCGACCAUCCAUGAGUUGGAGGGGAUUAGAAAUCGGCUUUGAUUAUGGCUGUGGCUAGAGUUGUGAAAGGUAAAAUUAACACUACUUACGGUAAGAUCUUGAGUAACGAUUGGGAUACUGGAUUAUGAGAAUUGUUCAAUAGUUGUAAUCGAUUUUGAGAUUGAGUUGAAUGACUUAUCAUUGAUUUCUUUGAUUUGGAUUGCUGAUUUGUUUUGCAACUGUGAUGGUAUUUGGGAAUUAGCUUAUUUACUUAUUCAAAUAAGUUUAAGGUCAGGGUGUUACAUUAAUAUACUAGAUAAAUAGAAAAAUUAGAAAGAAUCGCCUGAUAGUUCUUUCUUGAUGAGAGAGUCGUCAAAUAGUUCUCUCUCAAAACCUUAGAGAGAGUCGUCUGAUAGUUUUCUCUCGACAUAUUUAACUAUAUUAAAUACUAAGCAAAAUUACACGUGACAGCCCGUCAUAUAAGGUUGUCACUAAUUACGCACAUCCAGUAACUUACCUAUGCUAAAACUGAGAGAUAAAAAAAAAGAAAAAAAAAAAGAAUGGGUUGUAGAUUAGUCUUGUUCCUGUUUCUUCAAGUCUGAUUGGGCACUACAACACUCAUGCAGUAAAGAUUGCGGCACAAGCUCCCUCCACCUCCAUCAUAUAUAGGGAAGGAGAAUCUCCUCUUCACUUGCUUAACCUCCUCGACCUGUGGUGCAGCAACAAUAACCUUCUCAACCUCUACCAUUGUCUCACCUUCAACAAUAACCUUCUCUGUCACCUGUCACCAUCAUGGUAGGCCGUUAUCCUACCAUCGAAAGUUGAUAGGGCAAAUAUUUGAAUGAUGCGUCGCCAGCAUAAAGGCUGUGCGAUCUGUCAAGUUAUCAUGAAUCAUCAAAGCGAUGGGCAGAGGCUGCGUUGACCUUUUAUCUAAUAAAUGCAUCCAUUCCAAAAGUCAGGAUUUGUUGCACGUAUUAGAUCUAGAAUUACUAUGGUUAUCUGAGUAUUAGAUAACAUUAAACAAACUAUAAGUGAUUAAUGAGUCAUUUGCAGUUUCACGGUAUGAAUUAGUUCAUACUUAGAGAUGGUGGGGGUACACUGGAUUGGGCUACUGGUCCAAUUCAUUUUAUCUCACUUUGUUAGGUAGUUUUUGGUUAGUGAAUAAUGCGAUUACAUUAGACAAUUGUUGGUAGUGUAGAUUGGUUUGUUUUUGUAGCUAUUUCUGGUCCCACAUCAUUAUAUUACGGGAUACUCAAUUCCUAACUUGACAGAGUGACGUCAUUAGUUUUUCUUGGAGUUUUGGUUUUUAAUUUGUAGUUUGUAGUAAGUUCUUAACUUUGUGUGUGAGUGGUCGUCAGAUCAUUCAGACAUUGAUCGCUUUGCAGUCGUUAUUGGCUUUAAGCCUAAUGGAGUUAUUCCGAUUUUUCAAAAAAAAUAAAAUAAAAUUUCGGGAGCUAGACUCCUUUCACUAAUAUAUAUAUAUAUAUAUAUAUAUAUAUAUAUAUAUAUAUNNNNNNNNNNNNNNNNNNNNUCGUCUCUCUCUCUCUCUCUCUCUCUCUCUCUCUCUCUCAUAUGCAUGUUUCCCUGAGCUACAAUUAAUGUAUUCAUGUAUUAAAGAGGGAACGAGCAACACUACAACAAAUGUGGACUAUAAACACCAUUAACAAUGGGGAAGCACAUCUGCUGUGCCCACUAUGUCCCACGACUAGUACCGCGACACAUGUCCUCUCACUUGAUAAAGAUAUAACGCUGUUAACACAUAUUUUUUGUAAUUUAUAACUAAAUUGAUAAAUCAAUAUUUGUAAGUACUGGGUUUUUUUUAGUUGCGACUCCUGGUUUUUCUCGAUAACAACUUCGGAUCAUGAUCUUCAUAAAAAGGAAAACUGAUCGUUUUCUUCAUUUAUAAGAAAAACUUUGAGGCUUCAAUCAUCGUUUAUCAAGAAAUCCUUAUGGCUGAUUAGUAAGAUUGACGAAAGAAAAUUGUAAUGAGGUGGCUCAAAACACAAAAGGCAUACGAGAUGUUUGAAAGAGUGGUGGAUUGGAGUAUUUGAGCGGAGCAGACGGUGGUGGGCGGUGGAGGUUUCCGGCAUGGAAAAUCAAACCCAAACAAUCCAAACAAGAUUUGAUCACCUCAAUCAUUCCUCCCCAUGAAUCAACCCCUGUCAGACUUUCAGCAGCUAUAGGGAAAGGAAUAAAGAAUUAAGGGAAGGGAAUAGAUGAUGGUUUUGUUUUCUGGGUUUGUUUGAUUGUAGAUUUGGGAAACAGAAGAUGAAACGAUUUGUUCAAUACAAAAUAAAAAUAAAAAAUAGAUUUAACAUAGUUAAUUUUCUGUUAAGUGAGAGGACACGUGUCGCAGCAGUAUUCGUGGCACAUAAUGGGUACAAGGUUUUUGGGCACAGCAGAUGUGCUUCCUAAUCCGGAGAUCUUCAUUCUUUGCAUAACCAAACUUGAUGAUCUCUUGCAAGAGGCCACAUGCUCUACGUGCUAUAUAUACUCGAUAAUCCACUUAACUGGUUUUUGCUUUUGAUUCACGACUUCAUCUGCUUGGUCACCAUGGAAAAAAAAAAAUCACUAUGGCACUUAAACUAGUUGUGAUUACUUGUAUAAUUUUAACGAAAGUGAGAGUUUGUCCAAUUAAUAUGAUCACAUUUGCUAGAUGAUAUAGGACCGAUAUCUAUGUAAACAUAUGAAAAAGCAAUUACAAAUAAAGUCAUAAUCCAUUGAGUAAUAGAUUGAUUAAAAUGUAUUAUUAUAAUAUUCAAUUUUUUAUGUAUUGCGCUACAGUAAAGUGGUGUUUAUUGUGAAAAUGUUAUUGUGGGAUGACAGAAAAGAUAAGGGAUCACAGCACCGGAGAUGUAGCGAAUGACUUUUAUCAUCGUUAUAAGGUAAAUUUAAACAAAAAAUCUUCUAGUAACCUCCACUUUCUCAUUAUUUAAUAAUCAAGAGCGCACACUGAAAUAAGUUAUACUUAUAAUCAAUAAAGCCAUAUAUCGCUAUCCUUUGAAGAAGAAAAAUUAAUUGGAUGGCAAUGUAUUGUUAAGUAUUAUAUAUGCUCAAAGAUUAAGUACGUGGUUGUUAUGGGAAUGUGAUUGAUCAUCUCUUAAUAAGAGAUAUGAGUCAUCCAAUCUUAAUUAAUCAUACGGACAAAAAUUUCUCUACAUGCAUUUAAAUUUAAAUGUCGUGUAGCCGUGUGAGGUGGGACCCACCCAAAUGGAAGAGAUUCUGGCUGUAAGAUUAAGAUUAAACGAUUGAUAUUAAGAGAGGAUCUUGAUCCUAUGUUAUAUAGCUAUAAUGUCCUGUUUCGACGACUGAUGCACGAACUGAUGUGACAGGAAGAUAUCAAAUUGAUGAAGAAAAUUGGGUUGGACACCUUCAGAUUCUCAAUCUCAUGGUCCAGAUUACUUCCAAGUAAGAACUAAUUAAGAAGAUAAUGUUGUGUGACCCAUCUUAAUCAUAGAAACAACUAAAUAUAUGUCAAAAAUGGUUAAUAAUUACUUGGCAUGUUCUGAUGUUCAUGGCAACUACAUAAUUAUAUACGUACAUAUGGAUAUGUUCAACUCUUGUGCUUCUCGAUCGAUCAGAGGGAAAACUCAGCGGAGGAGUCAACUCACUCGGUGUCAAAUUUUACAACAAUCUCAUCAAUGAGCUCGUAUCAAACGGUGAACAUCUCAAUUCUGCUCUCAAUUUUCUGGCUCUAUCACAUUUACAUAUGAAUGAAAUUGCUUUCUCUAUCACAUUUCUCUUGACUAAUAAACUGUUAAGUAUUUGACAAGUUUCAUAGUCGACGAUCAUUCCUAAUUUUCCUAUAUAUUAAUUUGAUGUGAGAAUUGAAGGUAUCAAGCCCUUUGUGACUUUACUCCAUUUUGAUCCUCCCCAAGCACUUGAUGAACUGUAUGGCGGGCUCUUAAGCCGUAACAUAAUGUAAGACAACGUGUAUCAGUCAGACGGACUACCCACAUAUAUAUGUAAUUGAUCAUUAUAACUAGUAGUAACGUGAUCAUUUCGGCACUUGAUGUUUAACAGCAACGAUUACGGAGAUUAUGUGGAUUUUUGUUUCAAGACAUUUGGUGAUCGAGUAAAGCAUUGGAUCACGAUGAACGAACCUAACGGAAUUGCUAUUAACGGCUACAACGGCGGUACCAUUGCGCCAGGGCGGUGUUCUAACUACGAGGGAAACUGCACUUCCGGUAACUCAGCGACUGAACCCUACAUUGCGGCACACCAUUUGCUUCUUGCUCAUUCAGCUGCUGUCAAGAUAUACAAGGACAAAUAUCAAGUACUGUAACCCUAGCUGCAUUCGUUAUAUAUUUGAAUAUUACGAUGAAAUGAUAGAUGAAUACGUGAAUAUAGAUAUAUAACUUGAAUUAACGAACUAAUGUGAAUAUAUGAAAGCAGGCUACCCAAAAGGGACAGAUCGGGAUUACCAUAAUAACUCUCUGGUGCAAACCUAAGUUCCCAGAACAGCUGGCUAGCCGGAGAGCCACUCUUAGAUCACUCGACUUUAUGUUUGGAUGGUGAGGCUUAAAUAUUAAGACGUAAUUCUUCUGUAAAACUUCAUGUGUUGAUUUUGUAUGAAUUUUCAAUAUCUUGUAGGUUUGCCAAUCCUAUAUUUCAUGGGGAUUAUCCGGCGGUCAUGAAAUCUUUGGUCGGGGAUCGAUUGCCGAAAUUUACAGAAGCUGAGUCGAAGCAGAUAAAAGGCUCCCUCGAUUUUCUUGGGUUGAAUUACUACACAGCAUAUUACACAGUUGAUGAACCAGCUUUAUCCAACGCUGUCAACCAUAGUUGGAGUGCAGACAGACAAGUCGGUGCUUCUACUAGUAUGCAUCCAUCAAUCAUUAAUCCCCACACGUACCAUAUAUAAUAACUAAGUUCAACUGCUAUUCGAUUCUAACACAUGUAAAUCUAUUUUGUUGUCACAGCUGAUAAAAANNNNNNNNNNNNNNNNNNNNUACUUCUAUCUCUCUCUCUCUCUCUCUCUCUCUCUCUCUCUCUCUCUCUAUUGUAUAUGUUUACAAUUAUAUAUGUGGUAAACAUGCAGACUGAUCUGGAUUGGCUUUUCGUUUAUCCGAAAGGGAUCAGAGAUGUUCUUUUGUAUAUAAAGGAGAAGUACAAUAAUCCAAACAUUUAUAUUACUGAGAAUGGUAAAACGAUUGAUUCUCUUAUACAUAACCAUUACAUGAUUAAUUUUAGUAUUUUAUGUAAGCAUAUGCUAAGAUUGUAUAUAAUUUUGCAGGAUAUCCAUACGGAUAUAAUGCCUCAACACCAAUUCAAGAAGCUCGUAAGGAUAAUUUGAGGAUAAGAUACCAUCACGACCAUUUGUGGUAUCUUUUGAAGGCUAUUAAGUGAGUCACUCUCGUUCAUGUAGUGCAUGGUUUUUGGUAUAAUUUAUAAUUAGAGAUUGAGUUAAUAAUUAUUCGAUUAAUUGUUAUUGAUUGAUUUCAGGAAUGGAGUUAAAGUGAAGGGAUACUACGCAUGGUCGUUUUGGGAUGACUUCGAAUGGGAUACUGGUUACACAGUUGGGUUUGGCCUGACAUUAGUUGAUGUCAAGGAUAAUCUGAAAAGAUACCUCAAGUAUUCUGCCUAUUGGUACAAGAUGUUCCUCCUGCACUGAUAUGCUGUGGCUUAUGGAUUGAUCCAUCACCUAGCCGGCCUGCUGAUCAUAUCUCUCUAUCUACUCCAAAUAAAUUGAGCAAUAAUUUCCCAAUAAUUUAUGUCAUCUACCUAGCUAUAUAUAUGUAUCUUCAGCUAGCUCUCAUCAAUCAGAACUCUUGGUCCGCUUUAAUUGUGUUUUUCUAAUAUAAUACUAUUUGCCGUUUCAAUUUUUUUAUGGAGAUCUAUUUAUGCGCAUACUUUAGUGGGAACUACCAUAUAGUUGAAUUAUCAAUUCAAAUAGCUAGUUUUGUUUACUGUAUCAUUAUGUAAGUAAUGAAAUGAGUGUGUACUGAUAUUGAAUCCACUAUUACAAUCCUGCA